UUCCUCAUUCACAUGUUAGUGAAGAAAAAGUCAAAAUAAGUUUUUGAAAUGUUUUAGAAAAUUCUAAAUUCACGGUUGGUUGACUCCAGUGUGGAGUCAUGGUCUAAAACCCUACAAAAAUGCUCUUGUAAAUCAUAUAACGUUAUUUGAACCUAAAUGCAAUCCUCGUUUCAUGAAAAAAAAAAGUGAUGAUCGAUUGAUUUCGGACCCGUGAUGAAUGGGCUAAAAGACACUUUCCCAUUUAUUCAUUUGAUGCUUCAGAAAAUAGCAGAUUUUUUUCUAUACAAAACUAGGGGACGGUGAAAGUAAAUAUAUAAAAAUAUACAAUAAUACAUUAUAUAAAUAAAUGUUAUGGAAGAGGACAAGAGGAGGGAAAAGAGGCGCCCCUCCGAAACAUUAGAAGAGAACCGGCGGCAACACUGGGACGGUUGGCAACGCUGAGGGGUUGGUGUUGACGAGAGGGAAGAACAAAGAAACGGGACUAACGGGAGUACGCACGGAGAACUGCGCAGUUGUGGUUGUUUGGGACAACGGCGUUUUGUAUUCUAGCGACUUUAAUUAAAUUACUUUAUAUCAAA